UUGAAAUAGAGGGGGGGUUAGAAAUUAAUUCAUCUACCCAAAGAUAUUGGGCCAUCUCACUAAACCAAAUCAGCAGCCCAAUAUCCCCCUCAACCGCCCCAGCCCAAUUCUCGCCGACCCGGCCCAAAACUACCUAAAAACCAGCCUAACCAAACAAAAUCCCUAACUCUUUUUCCAUCCCAACCAAACGAUCCCCUAACUCCUUUCCCCUUCAACCAACAGCUAACCAAACGACGCCGCCAUCCCACCCCGUCACGUCACUUCCAUCACCUCGUCAGCACUACCACGCCGUCGGACCGCUGGGUUAACGUGGUCAGCGACGCCACUGGCCUCACAAGUCACAUAUUUCCCAUCAACUCUCUCUCAAUACAACAGAUACAAGUUAGGAUCGUCAGAUUCUCGCUCUCAACGGCUCUCUUCCUUUCUAAUCAGUCUGAAAAGUUAACGAGCGGAUUUGGCGACUCGACAACGACGAAUCACCUCAGUUCGCUGCCCCGGAGAAGGUCAGUAACUUUCCUUUUCCCUACUUUUAUUUUAGUCCAAUGAGUGAAUGCAUAAAUAAUUGAACGUUGGUGUCGCUCGCCUAAUUUUCUGUUUAGGCGUUUGUUACAAUACUUGAUGUUGCCAUUUUAUUUAAUAUAAAUCAUGUACGUGUAAAGGGCUACUGGAAAACUUAAAGUAAACUACUUAAGAGAAAUAUGGAUUCGACUUGUCGAAUAUAUGAAUAACUAUGUCCUCAUCUAAUUUUCCGCUUUUGCAUCUAUUAUAACCUGUGUGUUGCCAUUUUCACCAUAUAAAAGGUGAAAGGAACCAGAUCGCUAAUAGAAGUCAUAAGAGUGAAGUUAGUUUGAAUGAGUAAUUAGGCGAUUGCUUUGUAGUUUGAAUGAGUAAUUAGGCGAUUGCUUUGGCUGUUUUGUUUCAAAUGUUUCUUUAUCCAUAUUUGGGAGGCUGUUUUGCUCUAAUCUUUGUGAAAAACUAGUAUGUAAUCAGUGAUAGCUUGCUAGUUGGUUUUAAAACACAGUCCAUACAUGUGGUUCUAGUAACUGUUUGUUUGCUGUUUUUAGCAUGGUAAUCCCCUUCGUCUCUCAUCUCGCUUCAGUUUAUAAAAUUAAAAUGUAGUCACUUUAAUAAUUCAGAUUCCGUUCAAGUCUCUGUUAAGUGUGUGUAGAAUAUGUAAUCUCGUCUCUGUUUCUCCUAAAAUCAAGGUGUCCACAGGCUAGUACUAAUCAUGAGUUUAUUUAAGGAAAGAUAUCAUAUAUUUGGGGUUCAAAUCUUUUUUCACUUGUAACUUGAAUUUGCAAUGCGUAUAAACUUCCCUAAUGAGUGAAAACUGGAAUAAAUUAGUUUGUAAUCUGUUAGGCCUAUGUUCUCAAGUUCUCUUUGCUUGAAAAUACUUUUUUUUGGAGUAUUAAACAAGGAUUAGUUUAACAACCUUAUUUCUAUAAUUAGUGCUUGAUCUCUACAAAAUAUCAUGUCAUGAUAUUUAAAAAGGAAGUAUGUAUCGAAAGAAUUUGUCUCAUUUGAAAGCUCCUCCUAAAAAAAAAACCUCUCAUGUAUAAAUAUUCGUAAAAUAUCCAAGUUCAAGUCUAGUUUGCCUUUUAUUUCAGUAGCUUCUCUGAAUAAAAUCCUUUUGUUUUGCCGGCUGAAAGUCAAGGCAAACCUUGGGUUUUGGUUUAGCAUCCUCCGAUAGUCCGCCAUGCCUGAGGCUCUAGAAACCUUUUGACCUUGUGCGGUAUCGAAAACUCGGAAAGUGGUAACCCCUUUUGUUGCCUGUGAAUCAUUGAACUUGAUGUUUAUUAUUUGUAGGCAGCCUUAAGGCCCAUUGUUUUUUUUAAAGCAUGUUUGGUAGUUGGUAUUUCUUUUACUUUCUGGCAAACUAUUCCAAAUGAUCGACUUCUCUCUUAAGCUGAGUUAUUUCCGAGAUUCUUAACAGUAAGUGACUAUGUCUUUACAAUUUGUGAAAUCAAGAUACAUUGAUUUUAUUUUGAAACUGUCUUGUAUGUUCUUUCGCACCCAAUAUGUGAAUCUUUGUCCUUCCUUGAUAUGUCAAUAUGUCUUUCGAAAUUUAGACAAAAUCAAGUCAAUAUUUCAAAACAUCAAAACACUUUGUACUUUCACUUGUUGUUAGCUUGUUAAAAAUAUGUACUCCUAGAUGCUUAUUCUUCUUCUUCACCCUUCCUCUUCUUUGCAUGACUUGGGGAGUUUCAAACCUCAAAUGAUAUUGCAUAUCUGAGGAAGACAUGCUGCUUGUUUGAUGUGCUUAUUGCUGAGUUUUGCUUGAGGCUAAAAGUUGCCACAUUUAGAGUCAUUAGCUACAACAUUUAGGGCACUGCUCUUGCUACAUUUUGAGUAAGCUACUGCUCAGUGUUGAUUAUUGAAAUGAGCUGCAUUCUGAGGCAAUACGAGGAAAAGAUAUUGCUGUUAUGUUUGUUGCAAUUUUGUUAUCGUGUUGGCUGCCAUGAGUUGCUAUAUUCUUGACCAUUUGCACCGCCUUUGGGAUUUAUUAACUGCGGCAUUUUGGUGGUUCAGUGCUGCUGAGUUUCUGCUGCAAUUUGGGGCCAUUUGUUGCUUCAUUUUUGGCCAUUUACAACUCAGUUUGGGACUGAUUUAGUGUCAGUAUUUUGGUUGAAUGUUCACUGUAUUUUGGGGCUGAAAAUGCCAUCUUUGAGUGAUUUAGUUGCUGUGGGCUGCACUAAAGGGCUGAGUUUUCGCUCUAUUUUGAGGCUCAUUCGGGGUUGAAACUGCUGCUAUAUUUAGCUAGUUGUUGUUGAGAUUUUGAGCCAAGUUUUGGGAAGCUUUGAGGUCAUAGGCUGUUGGUUAUUAAAGACAAAUGGUUGCUGCAUUUUGGGGAGGAAAAAUGCCACACUUUGACAAUUUGUUUGCUGUACUUGAGACUUCACUUUGCUAUGUAUUUUUGGGCUGUUGUUUCUAGAGGGAAGCCUACUUCUCUGCUGCAUCUUGGGGCCAUGGGCUGCUGUAUUUUUGAGUUAAAUCGUUGCUACAUUUGGAGGCAACUGCUGCUGCAUUUCUCUAAGCCAAACCCUGCACUUAAUUGCAGCGCGUUGCCGAGUUACUGUCCUGUUUGACAAGAAAACAAAUGCUGCACUUUGACACUCAUUUUUCUACUAAUGCCUUGAUUAAUCUGUUGCUAUAUAUUGAGGAGUUAUUGCUGAAUAUUUUAGGCCAAUUGCGUUACAUUUAUAAAGGCAAUGUCACUACUCUUUGGGUCAUUUUGUUGUCUUUAAAGGCAUGGACUAGUUGCUACGUUUAAGUCCCAGUUGUCUGAUGAAAAAUAGUUAUUGUUAUGUUGCUCGAUGAGCUGCCUUCCUUCUUUAAAAGGAACAGGCUGCCACUUGUGAUGUCCACCUGAUUUGAACAGAUGCUACACUAUGGGGCCGACGAAAAGUAUCUAAACUUGAGGCCACAAUUUAAAAGAACAUAUUUCUCUACUUGAUGAAAAUUUACUGAUUUGAAUAGAUACUUAACUUGAGCAUGCCUAGCCCGGAAAGGUUAUCCAUCGGCUUAGGCAGUGAUGAUCUCACGGUUAUAUCACGAGGUAGGAACCAACAUGCGCUUGGCAAGGCAACUAGAAUGGCCACUAGUAUGUAGCCGCGACAUGAUUCAGGUUCCUUUGCCAUAUUCGGAACCGUGAGUCUGAGCCUCCGUAAUCAAAGCUCUCAAAGUUUGAUACGAGUCCGCGGGAUAUUAUUCAUGUUCCUAAACGUCACCCUACGGGGUGGCGUAUCAUUUUUUCUAACAUUUUUCUUUCAUAUUUUUGCGAGGUACAAAUAACGCGAGGCAAUAGAACAACGAUGUACCAAAAGUUGAAGCGAAGAAAUUUGGAAGCACAACAUGUUUGGCCGAAGAACUAGAAAAGGGGCAAAUAGGGCUCAAGUCUUAAACCUUAUUUAUUUCUAUCUAAAUUUAUGUAUCCAAGUUUUACAUGUAUAUUUGGAUCUAUAACAAAUUGCUAACCUAUUUAUUUUGGUUUUCCUUCUUAA